rnacentral:tRNA from 1 species
UGUGGAAAGGUAUAGUAUGCAUAUAAGUUUUUGAUAUUUAGGGUUAAAGUUUAAUUCUUUAAUUUACAA